rnacentral:rRNA from 1 species
AGGUCCGGCAACGGAGGCGCAACCCUUAUCCUUUGUUGCCAGCACGUAAUGGUGGGAACUCAAAGGAGACUGCCGGUGAUAAACCGGAGGAAGGUGGGGAUGACGUCAAGUCAUCAUGGCCCUUACGAGUAGGGCUACACACGUGCUACAAUGGCAGAUACAAAGAGAAGCGACCUCGCGAGAGCAAGCGGAACUCAUAAAGUCUGUCGUAGUCCGGAUUGGAGUCUGCAACUCGACUCCAUGAAGUCGGAAUCGCUAGUAAUCGUAGAUCAGAAUGCUACGGUGAAUACGUUCCCGGGCCUUGUACACACCGCCCGUAA